CACAAGCACACUAAAUUAAAUGGAAUAAAAUGAUUGACAUCUGCCUAAACUGAAUGCUCAUCUUCCCGGGACUGAGGAGGGUAAAUAUCUGUGAUGGCAAUCUGUGCCGUCACCAGCUCCCUGCUCAUAUGUACAAUUUAGAAGCAUCUCCAGUGAGAAGGCUAAGGGCGUUCCUCACAGAGUCCUCCUAGAUACCAUGUGAUCCUGCGAUUGGAGGAUGACCUCCACAGCAACUGACACUGAACUUGCCCAACACUCCCUUUCUGCGCAUGUGUGCCUUAUGAGGUUAGGCAGUCUAGGGAGGAGUCGCACAUGCGCAAACAGGUUACGUCAGAGUAAAAAUGGAAGUGCCUUUUAAGGCUGAGAUUCUGGUGAGGAGAUUCAGGAACCAGAACGGAUUUUGCUGCUUUAAAAGAAAAGAAAAGGAAAGGAAAGAAAAGAAAAGAGAAAAAAAAAAGACCAGUGAUCCUUUUUUCCAGAUCCCCCAGCCCUGAGGAAAGAAGCCCAUGAGAAGGAGCAGGGGAGAGGAGGGAGAAGAGUCUGUUUCCCAGGUCCUGAUCAGCCCUUCCCAGUCUCAGAGAAGCCAUGGGAGCCUGCCACAUCCAGUACGCCCUGCUCCUCUCUCUGCUGGGCUUCCUCGUCCCCUGCUCAGAGCUGAGGACCGAACUCAGGGCCUUGCACUAUCCUGGGAAGCGCUCUACCACUGAACUAAAUCCCCAACCUCAAAAACCGUAAGUUUUAAGGGUGCUAUAACAGUUCUAGUCUCAUACAAUCUACUAUAAUUAAGAAAUAUCAGUUAAUAGUCAAUAAAUAAACUUAUGAACCAUCAUAUCCUCUAGUUCAAAAACCUAUUUAAAGUCACGCCAAGUGCAGAUGCAGUUAAUUACAAGAUAAAGCUUUAUUCAGUCUCUUGUUUUAUGUUUCUAAGGUACUACUUGAAACAGGUAACUAAGAACAAAAUUGUCUAACUCAGAUAUCCUAGUAGGUGACAGCCCCCAAGCCAGACAGAGAUCUGCUGAGUAUGGCAUUUGAUGUUUAAACUUACUAUGACAGAGACGCCCAAAUCCUAACAAUGAUCCCCAAGGUCUCCAAGAAGAAAAGGGCACAACAGCAGAGGACACCGCCUGGAUUGUGGUACCCUAACCACUUGGUGAAACUGUCCUAAAGCUUCAUCUGCUGCCAGGGCCUAAUCUAACCAUGAACCAAAAGGACACCGGGAAAAUUGAUUGCUACAUGUUGCUUAAGACAAGAAGAACCCAGCUUUCUCCUCCACAGGAAAGUCUCUAGGAUUUGCCAAGCCUGGCAGCUGAAGGUUGAUCCAGUCCUGGGACCUGUGCCCCCAACCAAGACAUCAACAUCACAGGAACCUAAUGGGAUGGCCAUCUGGGCAAUGGGUAAAUCUAUCAUAUUAAUUGACACAUAAGACAUUUAUUUAGGUUACAAUGUAUCCUCCUCAGAUCUCUGAUCACAUUGACAUCUAAGCUAACUGCAGCUUAACAGCCAGACAAUAGGCAACUAGCCCCUUACCUCAAGGUAAUUCACCACCGUCUUAGUUCAUUGCUCAAUUCAUUAGUUAGAUAAAACUACCAGGGCUCUUAUUAAAAGGGCAAGCAUGUUUGCCUUGUUCAUAAGCUUCAUAUUAGAUGACUGCUCUCAAGAAUUAGCUGCCCACAUCUCAGGGUAAAAAAGGUGAGAUUAAAAGUUUAUGUAAGGUCUGAGGAUAUAAGAGCUUCUAAAAAUAUUUAAAGGUCUAGGAAAUGAUUGAGGUUAGUGAUACAAACUAAGGAUUAGAGGAUGUGGAGGGGUAAGGAGAAAACUUAGAGGAUAGAAAAAUUACUUCAAAUGGAGGAUGUUUUAAUGUUGGCAAGUUAUAAAAAUUAGAGGGUCUAAGAAGGCAUCUUAAGUUAUAUUAAUGCAAGUUAUAAAAUAUAAGGAAUGAUGCAUAAAAGGGAAUCAUUCAUAUUUACCCCCAUGCUGUUAUUAUACUAAGAUUUCAAAAGGUCAGAAUUUAAACAUUAACCAGUGAAAUUUUAAUAAGCUAAUGGAGCACUGGCUGUUUAGAAUUUCAUCACUAGCUGAAGGUUUUAAAUUCCCUUUGGCUGUCUUCUGGAUGGAGACUUAGAGGUGCUUCUUGUCAUGUUACAAACACCUCUGCUCAGUCUGUGUAUCUAACCCUCUGACCUGAAGAAAGGUUUUCUGCCUUUUAACCCAAACCUAUAGAUUUACCAGGUCUCAAAAGCAUGAGUCUAGGGGUUGGGGAUUUAGUUCAGUGGUAGAGCGCUUGCCUAGGAAGCACAAGGCCCUGGGUUCCACCCCAGCUCCGAAAAAAAAAAACCAAAAAAAAAAAAAAAAUAACAAAAAAAAAUAACAAAAAAAAAAACAAAAAACAAAAGCAUACUCCUGUCUCACAGACACCUGUCAACUACCAUCCGUCCGUCCAUCCAUCCAUCUAUCUAUCUAUCUACCUAUUCAUUUAUUUUAAUCCAAAUAUGGAUUUCCUUGUGAUGGCUAGCACUAAUAUACAACUGUUUGUAAACUAAAGUUCAAACAAGCUUCAGGGAAUCAAAACAAUGGUAAGAAUUGGGACCCACCUGCCACAGAUCUGAUGAACUCCAGAUGAGUAAUCCUGCCUGUUCUUGAAAUGAGAAAUUUUUUCCUGUUCUUGAGAUUGCUCACCUUCCCCAACCACUAGACAAUUUUCACUUUUGUCCCUGGUCUGCAUCUGCCUCACCAGUGUCUCGCCUGGCUGACGGACUCCACCCAAGGAAGCUAUGAAGUUCCCAGCUGGCUCCAACACUGAUGUAAAUCAGGCCAGAGGACAGAAAGUCCCCUGCCUUUCCACAGGGUCACCUAAUCCAGUGCUUCUGAUGAAUGCCCCAUUGCCUAGCACUUAAGCCUCCCUGGGCCCCUUGGGCAAUGCCCUAAUGUCAGCAGGAAGCAGUUACAGAAGAAACUUAAGGCAUCCAUUGUCCCACCUUACAGCUGAGAUGCUAAGACAGAAAGGCCCACAUUUCGACACUAAAGCUUCGUGGUCCUUAGGUCUCAGUAUAACCCUGCACCAGCGGUUCAGACCUUGGGAAAGGGGGACGGAGAGGCCCAAUGAGAAGUGCAAACCUCUUGGGAAUAAAAACUUCCUAUUCCCUGGGAAGCAAACUGAGCUUCUCAGAGGAAGUGAGUGACAGUAAGCUGUUGCUCAGUGGUGACCCUGACUUAGGGAGGGUAUGUCCGGGUUGAAGACAGCUCCUGUGACAGCUGGACAGCAGGAAUAACAAGGUCAGAACUGAGCUGGUCUCUGAAACUCUUCAAGCUCUCACCAAAUGCAAUGAAACUAACUUAGCAACUAAUCAGAAUUCUACUAAUGUCACUGCUUUGCUCCUACCAAUCUUAUUAGGGGUGAGCUAAUCUUUCUGGAAAAUUCCCCCAGCCCUGCAUAAAAGGGACUUAUGAGCACCUACACGUGGCAUCAUUUUCAUGAAUGUUUGACCCCUGCAAAAUUUCUGCAAAAUAAACGUUCUUUGCCAGUGCAUACUGUUUGAGUAUGGGGUCUUCCUUCAGGGAGCCUUAGACCCUAAAACAUAGACCUGACAGUCACAGUGCUGAGAUGUGGCAUGUCAGGAAGAGUAAAUCUGGAGACCCAGAGGUGUCCAUGUGCAUCCACACAUCCUCCUCAGGGGAUGAAUUAAUGUUUCCACUGCCAUGAUGGAAACCAGAAGAAAGCAGGUUAAUGGAGGGAAG